GGCUCCAUGGCUCAGUGGCAGAGCGCAUGUCUAGUAAACAGGAGAUCGUGGGUUCGAUCCCCUCUGGAGCCU
rnacentral:tRNA from 1 species